rnacentral:rRNA from 1 species
AAUAGUACCCUGGUAGUCCACGCUGUAAACGAUGGAAGCUAGCCGUUGGCAGGUUUACCUGUCGGUGGCGCAGCUAACGCAUUAAGCUUCCCGCCUGGGGAGUACGGUCGCAAGAUUAAAACUCAAAGGAAUUGACGGGGGGCCCGCACAAGCGGUGGAGCAUGUGGUUUAAUUCGAAGCAACGCGCAGAACCUUACCAGCCCUUGACAUGUCCGUGACCGGCUCGAGAGAUCGAGCUUUCUCUUCGGAGCGCGGAGCACAGGUGCUGCAUGGCUGUCGUCAGCUCGUGUCGUGAGAUGCUGGGUUAAGUCCCGCAACGAGCGCAACCCUCGCCCUUAGUUGCCAUCAUUCAGUUGGGCACUCUAAGGGGACUGCCGGUGAUAAGCCGAGAGGAAGGUGGGGAUGACGUCAAGUCCUCAUGGCCCUUACGGGCUGGGCUACACACGUGCUACAAUGGUGGUGACAGUGGGCAGCGAGACCGCGAGGUCGAGCUAAUCUCCAAAAGCCAU